rnacentral:rRNA from 1 species
CCCUUAGAUGUUCUGGGCUGCACGCGCGCUACACUGAAGCGUUCAACGAGUAUUCACCUUGCCCGGGAGGGUUGGGUAAUCUUUUGAAAACGCUUCGUGAUGGGGAUAGAUUAUUGCAAUUAUUAAUCUUCAACGAGGAAUACCUUGUAAGCGCGGGUCAUCAUCCCGCGCUGAAUACGUCCCUGCCCUUUGUACACACCGCCCGUCGCUCCUACCGAUUGAGUGGUCCGGUGAGGCUUUGGGAUCUGAGCGGAAAGAGCGUUUCGCUGUUUCUGCUCGGAAAACUCAGUCGAACCUUAUCAUUUAGAGGAAGGAGAAGUCGUAACA